UCUAUGUUAUUUCAGAGAAUUCAUGUCCUUUCACUUCAGGGAUUGCAAGAUGGAAGUCACAACUAUCAACUCCCAUGAAUGUGUUGUAGGAGGAGUUCUUGUGGUGGUUACUCUUCCAAAUGUAUAGAAAUGUGUUGCAGAGGCUUAAACCUGUAAAACAAUGCUACGAACAAAUUAAAGACAAUUGGACUGAUGAAAAUCGUGCUAAUGUUGAUUUCACUACUAAAAUGGGCAGAUUUGCAAAGAAAAUCAAGGGCUUCAGAUCUUGAAUAGCCAGUGGGUUGCGAAUGCUUCCUUCUCCACCUCACAUGGGUUAUUACAUUGAUGAUUCACCUACUAAUAUGAUUAG